GGAGGAAAUUCUGCUUAAUCAGAGACAUUUGAUGGAAUCAUCUCUUCUUCUGAUAUCAAAGACAAGUGACAUUCAACUGAAUGAAGUUCUUCUGUGUUUGCAGUAAUUUAAGAUCGAGUGUGUUUGCAAUAAUUUAAGCUGUAUUUUGUAUAUAUUUUAUAGUUUUACUCAAUGGUUUGUUAAGUACAGAGUAUUGCUGUACUAUUACUGUAUUAAGUUUAAAACAAUCUCUUCAGUUAAAAGCAUAAACGCAUAUGCUAAUAAGGGUAAAAAAUAUAUGUGAAAAUAUUUGAAAACCUCUUUGUAAAACGUGUAAAAAAUAAAAUAAAAAUAAAAACACAACAUGAAUGUGUAUGUGUAAAAUAAAAUGUUUUUCAUGCCCUAAAGCAAGAAAAACGCAUAGGAAAAAAAAAUCCUGACUGUAUGUGUAAUGGGUAGUAAUCAUAUUAUUCAUCAUAGACAUUAAUACUGAGAGUUGGUGCAGUUAUAGUUCUGUUCAAUGUAUAUAUAGAGAGUGGUUUUGGUUUGACAUUGUUGAUUGUUUUCAAGUAAUUUUAGUUAGGCAUUAUUAUUUUUUUAUUGUUUUAUUUUGUAAUUUUCUAAUAGAGCUGUUGGUCUGAAAUAGUUGUUAUGGUGGGGUUUGGAGUAGCUCCGUCUAUCUGAGAUCGGUUGCUCGUGUCGAGCUCUCUCUCGCGGUAUCGCGAGAGCUCCGUGCGGGCGAGCGCUAUCGGGUGGUAUCGCGAGAGCUGGCUCAUACGAGUAAACGUCAUCACAGGGAAAACAUCACUCAUUACGUGUCGUGAUCUUUCUCCGUCUAUUUUCAGGCGUAACACAUGAAAUUCAUAAUUCAUGCAUGAAAGGGUUAAGCAGCUGAACAUCAUUAUUAUUAUUAUUAUUUGCAGCACUGCUGUCUCUGGGACUCCACAACAUAAAACAAUAAUUAAAUAACUAAAUAUUUGCCUACCUGUACUCGAAUUUCUCGUCGUCAUAUUUGUCGGAGUAAUAAAUCUGCUUGGCGUGAUGUUAUUUCUGGAUAAUAAACAGAUGGAGUAACUGACAUGUCAUUGAUUUACAUAGUAUGUAUAAUCAACUAAUACUUGUCUCAACCUAAAAAUGUAAAGGACAACAGUAAAUACUGUUUCUCAAUAAAUGUAGAGAUUUUAUUAAUACAUGCAUCAAUCAGAUUGUUCUCUCCAGUGCUGCUAGCUGCUCAAACCAUUCUAGCUAACGAACGCAACCACAAAUCUGACAUUUAUCCCGAAUUAAUAUAUUCAUACCACACUUACUGUUUCUUAUUUUUUGUAAAUUUAAUAAUUGUGGCGUUUACUUCAUCAAAUAGUCCUUUCGUCUUUUUUUUUUCUUGUUUUUCCAAAUGCAAUUAGCAAAAACAAACGCCUCACAAGAGGAGCGAGAGGCUGCGGGCACAGGAGGGAGCGAUGUCAAGGUUCCUUGUCCGUCAGACGACUCCAGAGGCUGGUAUGGUAGGCUAUGUAAUCAUCUGGAUUUUUAAAACUCAAAUAUAGUUGAUUAGAGUUGGGUCCGAGUCCACCUUUGUCGAGUAGGCCUACGAGUCAAGACCAAGUCCUUAAACAUCAAGUCCGAGACCGAGUCCAAAAGGGGCCGAGUUGGACUCAAGUCCGAGUUCUUAAAGGCCGAAUCCAGAAGGCAAUUAAAUUUUAAAAAAGAUUAUAAAUUUGUAUUGUAAAUUUUUACAUUCUAUUAAUAUUUUAACCUUUCAACCCAUUAAACCAAUGGCAAUAUAAAAAUGUAAUAAAAAAUACCACUAUUACAUCUUGUCAUUGCCAUUGAACAUUUUUAUUUUAUGUCAACAGAACUAGUUUCCUAUCAAAAAAGAAUUCAAAGAAAAGAAGGCUAGAACUUUUAUUGUAUUACAAGUGCAUGAAAAUACAAAUGAACCUGUUUUAUUAUUGUAUCACACUAUAUUGUCCGCCAGUUAAAGCUGACAUUUGAAUUAUUUAAUGCCUCUCCCCCACAUUUAAGUUUAAAUCUAUCAGCUAGUCAUAACAACAAACUUAAAGCUUUAUUAUGGUGCUUAAUCAACAACAAACUCCUUUCUGAACACAGCUCUCUUGUAACAUGAGUUGUAAUGAACACUGAACAUGAAAUGUACUAUAGUGCAAAUCCUGCAAUGCUGGGCUGUGCAGCAUCUGUUGGUUGCUGCUGCUGUCUUUGGUACUCUCUUAUUCUGGGACAAAAAAAAAGAGAAAAUUUUAACAAUACUUGCUAAUUCAAAAACAGAAGGUACAUGCAAAACAAAGGUAUUUGUCUAAUGUGCCUAAAACAUUUUUUUGCAAAGUUUUGUUUAAGCUAUUUUACUAGUUAUUGCAAUUCAGAUCACAUCAAGUAAUUGAUAGAAAAUAAUUACAUUACAUUAAGAGCAAAUCAUUUUAAAUUUAAAAGGACUAUAUUUACAGCCCCUGCAUUUCUGUAGUGAUAUGUUAAUUUCCUUACUAAAAUGUAAAAAACAAAUCUCAAUCAGCAGGGUUUAUAUUAUUUCCAACAUUAAGAAUUACAUUUAACAUUUUGUAAAAUUAAAGACUGGAAUCACCAAAUGCUAAUGUUUAGGGCUGGGCGAUACUAAAAUCUUAUUUCACGAUAAUUGUUUUCUCAAGUAGGUCCAAAUAGUAUUCAAGUAAGAAUAAAUAUAAGGUGAAUUGCUCUAAAGUGGGACACUGCCUAAUGUGGGUCACCUAAGGUUUAGUGUUUGUAGGUCCCGCAUAAAUACAUGAAUGUCAGUGAAACAAUAGGUUAUCUGAAGCUGUGGUGCCAUGUGAUCAAAAUCAUAUAGCCUCUCAAAUGUCCAGUCAUAUAUGAGACUGUAGCAAUCAUCAAAAAGGAAGGACCUUUUGUGAAAGCCACCCAAAGGUCAAUGACAUAGAGUUUUGACAAACUUGACAUUAAGGAGUAUAAAUUAAUUUUAAACAAAAAAAAUCAUGAUAUCUUUUGGCCUAAUGUGCUUAUGAAAUGUAUGUCCAUCAAAAAAUACUAUAACAUUGUAUGUGUAAACUAUAUAUUUUAUAUUUUUAUCAAAUGUCCUAGUGUCCCACUUUAGGAAAUGUGGUUUCAAAAAGUGGGACAGUAUGAUUGCCUAAUGUGGGACAGUACUUCAGUCAGUCAAAAAUGUGUGGUGUGGCAUGGUUUGUGGGACAAAAAUGGUUAUUUACAGUGUUUUAGUGUUGUUGUGCAAUAAUAGAAUGAUUGUGUGUGUUUGUUGUUUAGUGAAAUAGAAAACAUUAUGCCAAAUAAACAUUUAUGCAGUUCGCAGCAUUUUUAUGAAUUUUGACUCAAUGUUAAAUCUAGCCUAAAGUUUGUUCAAGGUUUUUUUUAAUUUAUUUUUUGCAGGUUGCAAGAUUUUAUAUUUUGUCUUCAAAUAAGCCCUAGGGUAUAUGUUGAAGAGAACAGUGAAGAAUUCUGACUGUGCAUUUAAUUAUUUUCUAUAUAUUACUAACAUAGCCUAUGAAAAUAAUUGCCUAAUGUCUUUACAAUAAAUGCAUCAAAACUAUCAUAUUGUAUUAUUUUUCUGAUGAUGUUCAAUUAUCAAUCAAUCCAUCCAUAACCAAGAUAAUUACUAACUUAAGAAGAUUUUUACUAUUCUGCAUGAAUCAAUUGAUUUUGGCCUUUUAUCAUAGACUUUGGCCUUUUCAUAGACCUUUUAUUAUUAUGAUUAUUGUUAUUAUCAUCAUUAUCAUUAUUAUUAUCAUCAUCAUAGAUUUUGGCCUUUUAUCAUAGAAUUUUCAGUGUCCCACAUUAGGAAGCACCAGAUUGUUUUAGACGACUUGCACUAAGAGCACUAAUAUGUCUAUAAUUUCUUUUAUGAAUGUGUUAUCUGCAUUUUAUCUUUUGAUUUGAUUAGGAGACAUCCUGGGGUUUUUAAAAUGGUAUUGUGUGUGAAUUUAAUGUUUUGGCUACAAAUUGCAAUAUGUCACAGAAGUCUGAAAUGCAAAAAAUGUCCCACAUUAGGGCAAUUCACCCUACUAAUGAAAUUAAAUAAAGCAAUUAAAUGUAAAAUGAAACAGACUUCACUGUAUGACAUGCACAUUGAUUCUCAUUACAUUUAAUAAAGUUAGUUAUCAGUAUAGAGUGAGUGAGUGAUUUUGUUAACAUUACGGCAACAGAUUUAUUUGACUGAUAUUGACUGAUAUUGAUAUUUUUCCCAACUGUUUGUUUACAUUCACUUAAGACAUCUUACCAAUGUACAUAACUGAAUGUUUACAUGAAUACUCAGCCAAACUUACAUUUUGACAUGAUGUGUGUGAAUUUAUUUGACCGUGCAAGUGUAAAUUCAUUAGAUAAUUCAUCACUGUGCCACGGUUGAUUGACAUGGCAGACGCAGACCGUCUCCAAGCCAUAGAUGACCAGUGGAGGCGAUUCCCUCUCGUGGCCUUAAGUGAAGAUACAAACGCAAUGGAUGUUUAUGAAUUCUGGCACCAUAUUUCUACUUUGGAGGAUUUCGAGGGGGUAACCGUGUUCAGCGAACUGGGGAAGUUUGCCCUCGAUGUUCUUAUGCUUCCCCAUUCAAAUGCGUCAUGCGAACGUGUUUUUUCUAAAGUCAACCUCAUCAAAACAAAACGAAAUUGACUUAUUACAGACACUCUAAAUGGGCUCGUGCACACCUCAGAGUGUGUUAAGAAUGCGGGAGGGUGCCCUGAUUUUAAGCCAACGAGCACUAUGUUGCGGUCCAUGACGAUGAUCAAAUCUGUACAGCAAAAGGACCCCCUCAAUAUCUGGCAACACGCAGGCUUCUGAUGACAGCGACUCAGAGGUGGAGUUUGGACCUUCCCACUAAGGUACGCUUUAUUUACCUAUUGUGGUAAUUUGCAGGUCGAGUCAAAAUGUUGUUGGUCUAGAUAAAUAGCCUGUAUUCUGCAUGUUUGACUCGUGUACGAUAAUUUUCUUCCAAAUACGAUAAUUUUGAGCUUCUGGUACGAUACUUGGACAUUUCCAAUCUGGCAACACUGAUGGGAAGUUAAGGCGCUUCAUCUGGAGCAAGGAUAGUCGGGAAUCUCAAAAAACAGGGGUCUUUGUCAGUGACUGCUCGCUUGACAUCACUUACAAUCCACACAGAAGAGCAAUCUCUCAGUUUCUACAGGAGUUGAAAUAUCUCCAGUUCCAGGAAUAUCAACAAGCACAAUGUGUUCCAGAAGUUCACGACAAUCUGGAAUCUUGAUCGUCACACUCUUCACAAGCGGCCAGUACCAGCCACCAGGACUCGACUGACUGCUCACUCCAUACAGCGCAGUGAUCUUUUCUUCAGCAACUUCAACCAAGUCGUCAUUCAUGUCCUCCUCACUGUCACUUGUCCUCAUCUCUGAUAAAACUGUGAAAAGAUCUUUGAGCUCUUUCUCCCAAUCCUGCAGAGGCAUAAUACAGGAAAUAAGACAUUAUGUCCUUCCCUCCAGUCUGAUUAAGAAAUCGCAUUAAAGCCAUAGUAAGAUAAAUGAGGAAAACCUCUUUA